AAGACUGAAGUCUCAAUUUUUGCUUGUUGACACAAAAUUAUACAAAGUUCUAUACCUCAGAGGAGGAACUUGAAGAACAGUAAAGGAAAAUACCAGACGCCGAACUGCCUCUUGUAUUGACAAACAAAGCUAUCACGAGAGAGACUGCUUAUGACUUCAUUACAAAUGGAAAACAAGACCCCAAAGUUCCUCUUUUCAAAGCAGAUGUGCAUACCGAAUUAUCAACACCCGCGACAGCCCUCUCUCUAAACGAAAUUUCAAACAACUCAAGAACAACUACACUUCAACAUUGCUGCGGUUAAUCAAGGCUACAGAAAUCAUCUACUGACGAACACCACCGACAAAGGAUGCAGGGAAACGAAAGUGACGACAACUUGCUGGGCAUAAUAAAACGUGGUAAAUUUGAGGAAAUUGAGAGUGAAAUCAAGCCAACGGCCUUCAAAUAUUGUGAAUCCAAUUCCUUGCUAAUGGCUAUGAAGGUAAACUUUGAACUUCGUAGGCGGGCAAACCAGAAGGGACCCGAUGAAAAAAGGUUUCAUCAGUUGGCAAACUCUGUAGAGAGUUUCGCGGCCUGUUUGCUUGAUCCACUGCGAUAUGAUCAAGACAGGCGUGAAAAAUUUGGUGAUGGAUUGGAUGAGAUAUUGAAAGACGCCAUUCAGCUAAAUCAGAAAAAGGUAGGUGGAAUGAAGAAUAGAACGGCUCAACUUACAUACCCUCUUUCUUUUUUGUAUAAGAAUAUAUUUUAUAAGAAUAUCGA
rnacentral:lncRNA from 1 species